rnacentral:rRNA from 1 species
CCUACGGGAGGCUGCAGUGGGGAAUAUUGGACAAUGGGCGAAAGCCUGAUCCAGCCAUGCCGCGUGUGUGAAGAAGGCCUUCGGGUUGUAAAGCACUUUCAGUGGGGAAGAAAGCCUUGGGGCUAAUACCCUCGAGGAAGGACAUCACCCACAGAAGAAGUACCGGCUAACUCCGUGCCAGCAGCCGCGGUAAUACGGAGGGUGCGAGCGUUAAUCGGAAUUACUGGGCGUAAAGCGCGCGUAGGCGGUCUGAUAAGCCGGUUGUGAAAGCCCCGGGCUCAACCUGGGAACGGCAUCCGGAACUGUCAGGCUAGAGUGCAGGAGAGGAAGGUAGAAUUCCCGGUGUAGCGGUGAAAUGCGUAGAGAUCGGGAGGAAUACCAGUGGCGAAGGCGGCCUUCUGGACUGACACUGACGCUGAGGUGCGAAAGCGUGGGUAGCAAACAGGAUUAGAUACCCGGGUAGUC